rnacentral:rRNA from 1 species
CCUACGGGUGGCAGCAGUCGAGAAUCAUUCACAAUGGGGGAAACCCUGAUGGUGCGACGCCGCGUGGGGGAAUGAAGGUCUUCGGAUUGUAAACCCCUGUCAUGUGGGAGCAAAUUAUAAAGAUAGUACCACAAGAGGAAGAGACGGCUAACUCUGUGCCAGCAGCCGCGGUAAUACAGAGGUCUCAAGCGUUGUUCGGAACCACUGGGCGUAAGGCGUGCGUAGGCGGUUUCGUAAGUCGUGUGUGAAUGGCGCGGGCUCAACCCGCGGACGGCACAUGAUACUGCGAGACUAGAGUAAUGGAGGGGGAACCGGAAUUCUCGGUGUAGCAGUGAAAUGCGUAGAUAUCGAGAGGAACACUCGUGGCGAAGGCGGGUUCCUGGACAUUAACUGACGCUGAGGCACGAAGGCCAGGGGAGCGAAAGGGAUUAGAUACCCCUGUAGUC